rnacentral:misc_RNA from 1 species
AACUUUUGGCAAUGGAUCACUUGGCUCUCGCAUCGAUGAAGAACGCAGCGAAAUGCGAUACGUAAUGUGAAUUGCAGAAUGCAGUGAAUCAUCGAAUCUUUGAACGCACCUUGCGCCCCUUGGAAUUCCGAGGGGCACACCCGUUUGAGUGUCGUGAACAUCCUUCAACCUUUCUUGUUUUCUUGACCGGGGAAGGCUUGGACUUUGGGGGUCUUUCAUUGCUGGCCUCUUUGAAGCCAGCUCCUCCUAAAUGUAUUAGUGUGGUCUGCUUUGCCGAUCCUUGACGUGAUAAGAUGUUUCUACGUCUUGGGUUUCGCACUGUCGCUUUAGACCCCGCUUCUAACCGUCUUGCAUUCAAGACAGAGUUUUAAACCUUGACCUCAAAUCGGGUGAGACUACCCGCUGAACUUAAGCAUAUCAAUAAGCGGAGGCU